ensembl:lncRNA
UGCCUCUGACUUGCCUACAAAAGGAGUCUAAGAUAAAGAUAAAUUUCGUAGUGUGCACAUGUGCGUGUGCCUUUAAAGUUUUCUUAUUGAUUCAGGGAGGUAGGAUGCGGCAGUGUUUGCACGUGGAAAUCCUCUUGCAUCUUUAAAAGGAGAUGUGUUUUGCAGUUAUACCAGGUAUAUCUCUUAGUACACCAUUUCCAAAUCAUUUUCUAAGUAGGUAAGGAUUCAAACAGGAAUUGUCAAAUUUCAGAAGCGGUGACAGACAGGGAAACCAAAUCACAGAAGUUCAGAAGCCAGAGGUGUCAUUGCUGCCACAAACAUUUUCAGCUGGAUUAGCUGUUUAGCCUCAUUUUCCGUCUGUGUAUUUCACACCAUGUGAGGUGCUCUCUUUUGAGGAAAUUCAGAGCAGUGGGAAAUCCUCUUCUUAGUCAGAACCUCACCUGACCUAGACCUCCUUGUUUGUUCUCCUCCUAUCUUAUUAAUGCAGCUGUGAGUACAUUUCCAGCACUCUUCACCUGCCACAGUGACGAGGGAUCAGGUGCCAGGUAGGGUAAUCAAUCUGGAGGGCUUUUAGCAGCGCAUCCUGCCACUGUUUGACAGCAUGUCUCCGUCAAGGAGACUGUCUUCCCUAGAUCGAUAAAUCAAUCAGUUCUUUUUACAUCUUAUGAAACCCUCCUCACACCCCAUGUCACUCAUGCUGCACCACACACAAAUAGAGAAUCGGGGUUAGGUUGGCCCAAAGCGUCCUAUUUCACAUUCUAUCCCAUAAUCGCGUAUCCUUCUCCCAAAUCAAUCCCUGGCACGGUGGUAAUGGAUCAAAGUCCAGUUCUUCAUUCCUUUGAACUGACGAGUAAAUCUGUCUUGAGUGUUAGGUGUUGUAGUGUGUUUAAAACUAAAUCACAACUGAAAUUCAGAGGAGACUAAUUGUUCCUUUUACGAUAGAACUCUUCAAAGGAGACAACAGUUGUUUCACUAACACAUAGUAGAUUCUCUUAUUCUACUCAAAGAGAUCAUAGACUUUUAGAGGUUCUCAAAGUUGGGAAGAGGCUCAGAGACUAGCUAAGGGAUCUAAACCAGGUGUUUGCUCCUGUGUACUGAGAAGUUUCCAGCUACUUUGCUGGCAUUGUUAGAUGAGGGCUGGUAAUGGGUUCUGUCACCCAGAGAAAGCCACUUGCCUUUGUGUAUAUGUUGCAUUUGGGUCUGAGAUAUCACAUAUAAUGGCUUCUGCUGCUUUGGUGGAAAAGUGAAAACCAGUAAUCUACAUCAGGUCUUGUAUCUUCAUAUUAUUAAUACAAAUGUAGAAUCUGAAACUCAUCUUUGUUGUGUAACUUAGUCAACGUCCCACAACCGGUCCAUGGAAAAGCGGUAAGAAACAUCCCCUACCCUGACAUCGUGUGUGCUUCAUCGAGCCUGACAGGCUACAGUCCAUAGGGUCGCAGAUUCAAACACAAUGAAGCUUUUGUAUGAAGAUUACAGACAAAGAUGGAGACAGGCCUUAUAACUAGGCCUAAGAAUCUGUCCUAGAUUAAGGGAUAAUCUGUAGAUUGGACAUUAAAAGGGAAAAGGGAGUCGAUAGCAUCUUAUUCCUUUUAUCUACAGGGGAAAUGAGUAAUAUCUGAACUGAAAUCCAAGAACAAGGCCAAAUAUGAUUGGGUCAUAACUUGGGGGAGAUAGGGACAAAGUUUCCAUUGGGAAGAGCCAAAAGGAGCUUACCUAUGCAAGAUACUAUCCAACUUUAAGACCAUAAGGUAUCUGGGAGGUCUACUAAUUUCUUCCCUCACUCCAUACAUCAACAUAGAGCCCACCUUUCCCAGAGAGGAGACACCCAUGUUACUUAAAUAUUAGAGGCAGAAUUGGAACAAGUCCUGAUUCCCCUGGUUUUCACCAAGAGCUCUUUUCAGUGUAGUGUAUUAUCUCUCCAAGCAGACAUUUGUCCCCAUAUCCAUUAGGGUUAUUCAAACCCACAUUAUGGUGAUAGCCUGCUGAAACAAGCAUCUAAACUGAUAAUGACAGUUCAUUUCGUAUGGGCCACAAAGUAGCAAUAACUGUCUUUAGCUUCUUGGUUGAAACCAGACCUAUAAUCUCAAGAUAAAUAGCUUUGCGUGCUUUUACCAAUCUCCAGAGCAAAUCCUUCUUCCUUGUUCCUCCACUCAGGAACAACAUAUGCUUAAUUUUCAGACUAAUGAAAUGAUUUCAAGGAGCUAAAUACAUAUGAUGCAUUUAGCAGAUUGUUAUUAAGUGGAUUCUUACAAAGCUGAUAUUGUUAUGUAUCUGCCUGCUUAUGUUCUCAUUUCC